rnacentral:rRNA from 1 species
ACCCGGCCCGGACACCGUCAGGAUUGACAGAUUGAGGGCUCUUUCUCGAUUCGGUGGGUGGUGGUGCAUGGCCGUUCUUAGUUGGUGGAGCGAUCUGUCUGGUUAAUUCCGAUAACGAACGAGACUCUGGCCUGCUAAGUAGACCCCGCGUCCGGUGAAUCGUACGCCUGAAACAAUUGGACACUUCUUAGAGGGACCAGCGGCGCUCAGCCGCGCGAGAUUGAGCAAUAACAGGUCUGUGAUGCCCUUAGAUGUUCGGGGCCGCACGCGUGCUACACUGAGAGAGCCAACGGGUACACGUCCUGGCCAGUCAUGGUGGGGCAAUCCGUAGACAAACUCUGUCGUGCUAGGGACUGGGGGUUGCAAUUGUCCCCCACAAACGAGGAAUUCCCAGUAAGCGCCGGUCAACAGCCGGUGUUGAUUACGUCCCUGCCCUUUGUACACACCGCCCGUCGCUACUACCGAUUUCUGGCCUGGUGAGUCCUCCGGACGGUUCCCGGGCCGGCCUGAUGCCCUUCACCGGGCUCGGCUGGCUGUCUGACGGCUGGAAGGAGGCCGAACCUGGACACUGAGAGGAAGUAAAAGUCGUAACAAGGUUUCC